AGCAGCCGCGGUAAUUCCAGCUCCAAUAGCGUAUAUUAAAGUUGUUGCAGUUAAAAAGCUCGUAGUUGAAUUUCGGGGUCAGUAGGUUGGUCAUGCCACUGGUAUGUACUGGUCUCACUGAUUCCUCCUUCCUGAUGAGCCGUAAUGCCAUUAAUUUGGUGUUGCGAGGAAUCUGGACUGUUACUUUGAAAAAAUUAGAGUGUUUAAAGCAGGCUAACGCUUGAAUACAUUAGCAUGGAAUAAUGAAAUAGGACGUUCGAUCUUAUUUUGUUGGUUUCUAAGAUUGACGUAAUGAUUAAUAGGGAUAGUUGGGGGCAUUAGUAUUCAAUUGUCAGAGGUGAAAUUCUUGGAUUUAUUGAAGACUAACUACUGCGAAAGCAUUUGCCAAGGAUGUUUUCAUUAAUCAAGAACGAAAGUUAGGGGAUCGAAGACGAUCAGAUACCGUCGUAGUCUUAACCAUAAACUAUGCCGACUAGGGAUCGGAUGAUGUUAAUUUUUUAAUGACUCAUUCGGCGCCUUACG
rnacentral:rRNA from 2 species